rnacentral:rRNA from 1 species
CGCGUAGGCGGUUGAUUAAGUCGGAUGUGAAAGCCCUGGGCUUAACCUGGGAACUGCAUUCGAUACUGUUCGACUAGAGUACGAGAGAGGGAGGUAGAAUUCCACGUGUAGCGGUGAAAUGCGUAGAUAUGUGGAGGAAUACCGGUGGCGAAGGCGGCCUCCUGGCUCGAUACUGACGCUGAGGUGCGAAGGCGUGGGGAGCAAACA